GCACCCCGUGGAGUGAUCAUAGAGUGACACGGACAGGCAGAGCGGCCAGGACCUGCCCGCUUCCGGUAGCGCCACAUUGCUCCGGGAGCUGCCGCGUACGCAGUUUCCAUGGGGACUGAACAUGGCGCCGCGAGAUAAAAGGUUGUCCUCAACCCCUCUGGAAGUCCUGUUCUUUCUAAAUGGGUGGUACUAUGCCACCUAUUUCCUGCUGGAGCUCCUCAUUUUCCUGUAUAAAGGUCUCUUGCUGCCGUACCCAACAGCCAACCUAGUCUUGGAUGUGGUGAUGCUGCUCCUUUAUCUUGGCAUUGAAGUAAUACGACUGUUUUUUGGUACAAAGGGAAACCUCUGCCAGCGAAAGAUGCCCCUUGGCAUUAGUGUGGCCUUGACCUUCCCAUCUGCCAUGAUGGCUUCAUAUUACCUGCUGCUGCAGACCUACGUGCUCCGCCUAGAAGCUAUCAUGAACAGCAUCUUGCUCUUCUUUUGUGGCUCAGAGCUACUGCUUGAGAUGCUCACGUUGGCCACCUUUUCCAGUAUGGAGAGGAUCUGAAGUACAAGAAUUCCAGCUGGUAGCCCAUCAGGGUGACAACACAUUCUUCUGGUACUUCAGCCACACUUGUGAAAAGUGGUCUCCUGAGUACUAGGCAUUACAAGUUUGAUCACAACACCCAGUGCUGGCUGUUUUGGAUUUCAAGUAAUUCUUCGGUUGUACUAGCUCAAAAGAGGUGAUGCUGCUACUUACUGAAGGGAAGGGGUAAUAGACCAAGACAUCCAUGCCUACCUUGUCCAUCCCCAACAAGAAAGAAGGCCAAAGCCACUCAUGGGCUACAUCUUCAUUAACCUGCAUUUCCACAGGCUAUGUAUGUUAUGUGAACACCUUUCAAAACUCAAUUUGUUGCAAAAAUGUAGAAAGACAAACAGAAUAUAUUCAGAGCUAAACUGUUGGCUUUUUAUGCUGGUUAUCCAACAUUUUAGAAUUCCAUGAGGUAAGUAAAGAACACAGAAAGUAUUAGCCUGUUUGUUUUCUAAAGAAAGAGAGAAAGAAGGCAUGGAGUGUGAUGGCUUUGGAGGAUCUGGGAGGAGAUGAAGAAGGGGAAACCAUGACCAGAUUAUGCUAUGUAGAAAAAAAAUAUUAAAAAGACAAGAUAAAGGGAAACAUAAAGCUAAAAAAAAAAAGGACUGAGAAAGGUGUAGACUGAAAAUAUUAGUAAUUGUUAUCAUUCCAUUUACUUUCUAUCAAAGAUGACAAAAACACUCUCAGCUAUAAAACUGUUUAUAAAACUGUUUAAGUAAAGUGCCAGGUGGUUUUUGAUCCCAGCUCUCAAAGAGUCAAGAGGCAGGAAGAUCUUUGGGAGUUCGAAGCCAGUCUGAUCUAAUGAGUCCAGGACAGUCAAGACCACAUAAAAGAGACCAUUUCACAAAACCAAAAAAAAAGGCAGAUAACACCAAGAAAGCAGAGGGCAAACAUAAGGGAAUGUUUUAUUGUUUGCUAGUAGGUUGUACCUAGGCAGAAUGCUGCAGAACUUUCAAAAGGUUUGAGUUUACCGUGACCUAUAAGAAUGCACAAGGGAAAAGGGUUCCCAGUCUCUUUUAUCCAGUCAUCCAUAGAGCUACACAACCUGAUCAACUACAUUACUUCCAAACAAUCAGGCAGACAACAGCCCAGACAGAUCCAUCUAGCCAAAUUCUGCUCUGUUUUAUACAUCUCCAGACACAGAACCAACAGCCAUUCUUUCUUACACCACAAACAAUCCUUGUUAGUAGCUUUCUUUCAGUUUGGAUUACAAAAUGGUGGGAUAAAACUCAAGAGCCAUAGGCUCAUUCUCCAAGAAAUCUUUCUAUGAAUGAAAAUAUAGAAAAGUAGAGCUGAGAGGGAGCCUAAGUCCUGGUGACACAGUCCCCAAGCCAGACAAUCAACCUAACUUUAAUUACCCACACUCCUGCUUUUACAAAACUUAUUAAAAACAAAAAUAUCCUUCUAUUAUAAUUAUUCAUAAGGUCUCUAAAGCUUUUCAAGAUUUUUCAGAAUGGUUUUUCUACUCUAAAAUUCCAAUUUUCAAAAUCUUUUUAAUGGAUAUCAAUUCUUGAAGUCAUUAAUAUUGUUUUAUGAAAACUAAAGUAACAAUCUCUUCUGCCUUGGCCAGUUUUCCCUUUUACUUGAAAUUUGGGAUUAAAGUGUAAUAAUGGUAAUAACAGUGGUUUUCAUUUAUUAAGAACUCAGGGGAGGAAGAAACAUCUCUAUUACAAAUCUUCCUUUUGUUUUGAGAAAGGGUCUCACUUUGUAGUCCAGGGUGUCCUUCAACUCAAGGCAAUCCUCCUGCCUUGACCUCACAAGUGCUGAGAUUACAAGCAUGAGCCACCAUGCCCAGUUUAUACUUAAACCACUGGUAAGGAACAGGGCUUCU